rnacentral:lncRNA from 1 species
UCCGCAGCUCCGCGGCUACAAAUAAACCCAGCGCAGGCGUUUUCCCUGUUUAGUGCUAGAAGCAGCAUGUCUGCGGCAGCUGCUGGACCCUCUGUGCAGCUUGUUCCUUCUAGAACCAGUUGCUGAGUUCCAGUGUUCUAACAGAUUCAGUUUGUAUGGCCUGGGUAGUUCCAGACCAGGAGGGAGAAGCCCCAGAAAGAUGUGAUACUCCACAGCUGAAGAGUACGAGAUAGAUGUGUUACUCCUCAGGAGGCCACGAACUGCAGAUAUUUCCUCUUUAAUAAACGCUUCCUAGUUGCGUCUACCUCUCUUUGUACUUCUGUCGCUUUUAAUAUUAACUAGGCUAAAAAAUCAGAAUACAGUGGCUCAGCGAAGGGCGAUUCUGCAGUAUUCUGUGUUGAGCGGGGAGAUGCUGUUACAAACAAAUACUUGUGGAAGGAAGGAAAGCAAAGCUGUUUUCUGGAAUUACACAGAGAAAAGGCUGUGGAUGACAUAGUGCGCUACAGUGAUUAGACAAAGGAAAAGCAACAGGUUUAAUAACCUCUCUCUGCCUGCAGCUGACCAGCUGUAGAAUUUUACAGCAGUGUUGGUUCCAGAGUAGAAUUUUAACCCCAAUUUGGGAAGACUUAAAUGUGCUUAGUUUUGCACGCUGAGUAACCAACCCAGUUACGGGGGGCCGUUUGGARCAUGUUAAAUGCACAAGCAUGUCUUUACAGGGCCUGUGCUUUCCACCUAGCUGGUCUGCAAGAGCAGGUGCAUAGGUUCUCUGUAUGUGACACAUUUUAGCUCUGUAAACUUGAAAUUUUUGCACUGAGGAAUGUACAAGUUGGAGCCACUGACUUGUCUUUUGCUCUUCUUUUAAUUCUUAAGGAGAAUAAAAGUUACCAUAAUAUGAAUGUAGAAGAUAAA